AUUGAACGCUGGCGGCAUGCCUUACACAUGCAAGUCGAACGGUAGCGGGCCUUCGGGUGCCGACGAGUGGCGAACGGGUGAGUAAUGUAUCGGAACGUACCUUUCAGUGGGGGAUAACGUAGCGAAAGUUACGCUAAUACCGCAUAUUCUGUGCGCAGGAAAGCAGGGGACCUUCGGGCCUUGCGCUGAUUGAGCGGCCGAUAUCAGAUUAGCUAGUUGGUGAGGUAAAGGCUCACCAAGGCAACGAUCUGUAGCGGGUCUGAGAGGAUGAUCCGCCACACUGGAACUGAGACACGGUCCAGACUCCUACGGGAGGCAGCAGUGGGGAAUUUUGGACAAUGGGGGCAACCCUGAUCCAGCCAUGCCGCGUGAGUGAAGAAGGCCUUCGGGUUGUAAAGCUCUUUCGGCCGGGAAGAAAUCGUAUCAGCUAAUACCUGGUGCGGAUGACGGUACCGGCAUAAGAAGCACCGGCUAACUACGUGACAGCCGCCGCAGUAACAC
rnacentral:rRNA from 1 species